rnacentral:rRNA from 1 species
UACGUAGGGUGCAAGCGUUGUCCGGAAUUAUUGGGCGUAAAGAGCUCGUAGGCGGUUUGUCGCGUCUGCUGUGAAAACUCAGGGCUUAACCCUGAGCCUGCAGUGGGUACGGGCAGACUAGAGUGUGGUAGGGGAGAUCGGAAUUCCUGGUGUAGCGGUGGAAUGCGCAGAUAUCGGGAGGAACACCGGUGGCAAAGGCGGUUCUCUGGGCCUUACCUGACGCUGGAGGAGCGAAAGCGUGGGGAGCGAACAGG